CAUGACUAUAUGGGUAGUGCUCAGAGAAGAGGGGAGACUAGUUGGAACCAUGUCGUCCCGAUCCUUCCGACCCUGUGUGAAUUUAUGUCGGAACAUUAUCCGGGCAGUUUAGAUCAAAUGCAAAAAUGGAUAGAAGUUGGUUUUCCUUCAAACGGAAGUUUGAGCGAGAAUCAAUUAAAACAGUUGGAGGUGCAACUGAGGGAGGAGAUGAGCGCGACGGCUCAGCAUGCAGUCUUAUCAAAGAAAAAGCAGAAGAAUGUGAUAUUUAAGGCAGACUGGGAAGCCUUUGGAAUGUGGGAAUUUGAAAAAAAAAAAAAAAAAAAAAGGGAGAGACAGAGAUUGAAAGCAUUUAAUUCGCUAAAUUCCAAAAAGCCUACAAAGAAUGUUAACAAGUGUCAUUGCAUUCACCCAACUACUGUGUAUUCUUGUCUUUCUGAGAUACUGAGAGAAUCGGUGGCUCCAGACCUGGAUUCCGCCCCCCCCUUUUGCUCCGCCAGCCUGCUUGCAGCAGCCUUCUCAGUCAAAUGCAGCUUCAUCGGACACAGUCCAAGAGGGACACAGACUCUGGAACAAUGCAAAGACCAUCUGAAAGAGCGUUUCGUGAGCGGGACGAGACCAAACUCCGGCAGAUGGUGAGAAAAUCAUAUGUUCCACUAACAGAUGUCCUAAAGCACGCUGAACAUGCUAAAGGCGGAGUUGCACAGAAAAGAGAUGCUUGCAACGAUCAACACACUUGCAAGGCAAAUACGGAAUAUUCCCCCAUGGCAACUUGGGAGGACAAGAGGUCGAGCCAGAGGCAGAAUGGAUCUGACCCUACAAAGAUAUGAUUCAAGUGAGUGCUACAACUGCGGAGGGCAUGGACACUGGCGAACAGAGUGUCCGGAGCCCAAAAAGGAAGACCCACUUUCUACACGGCUGAGCGGAGGGAGGCGGGGGAGGGGCGGAUCCCAGAGACGGACAACCCUCUCCAGGACAAACAAGUAAGGCACACUACACAAAAGGGAAACAAAAGAAGCAAACUUUAACAUUGAUUUUCUAACUAUCCUUUAAAGAUGUUUUGACUCAGAAGCUAAAAUCUCAUUUGUAAAAUUGAAAUUCCCAUUAUUUUAGGCUAUAAGAAAUAGCUCAAAACCACUCUGUAGCGAAAAGAGUGAAAAACUAAUAUUAGACCAUGGAGCUUCAGUUGCUCAUGAUCUUUUCACAUUGCAUACAGUACUGCAGCAGAAGAUUACAUGCCAUUAUUACGUUGUCAUGUAAGCAAAGGAAGUAUUGGUGAGAGAGGACUGCUGUUGGGUCUGUCCGUGUGUCUCCCUCCAUCUCAGGAAAUGUGCCUUGGAGCUGCCCUGCAUAUAUCACUGACAGACUAUCGCACUGGGAAGGGCGAGGAUCCGGGUCCGUGUUUUGCAAUGCGUCUCGGCCUUUCAAAAGAAACAACGACCGGGUGCUGAGAAACAGGGAUUAGCGCUAUUGGUAAUGUUUUAAACUACAUUGACCAUCACAGUAAGUGUACACGAAUAAAAAACAAAGGAAGAAGGGAAAAAGGGAGAACACAAAAAAAAAAUAAGAAAGAAAAGAAGAACAAAAGUAACACAUGGGGACCAAAAUGUCUAAAGGGUUAUCAUGAAAGACCAGGCAUGUCCCAUAGAGUGCUUAGUGAAAACUUUGGAAUUCUAUAGACGAUGUAUUAGUUUAUAUAAUAUUAUAUGUAUGUAUUGUAUUAUAUGAUGAAUUACAGCCAUCAAAGGAGGCUUGUAAAAUUAACACAAUCUAAACAUUUGGCAGAUAAUGGACAUAAAGCUAGUCUACAAAAAGAAAAAGGAAACAUCAAUGUGCACUAAAACGAGUAAUCUAUCUGGGACAUGUGAUCACAGGAGAGGGCAAAUUCCUCUCUCCCAAAAUGUAUUGUGGUAGUUCAAUCACUACCAAAACUAAUUAAGAAGAAACAAAUUAUGUUUUUUAGGAACGACGUCAUACUACAGACAGUGGAUCCCAAAUGACUUAGAAAGAGAGGCACACCUCUCGUCCAUGGUAAAGGCCUCAGCGAACAUGACUUACUGACUUAGACUAUAAAAGCAAAAGACAGAAGAGAACUUAAAGACUUCCUUACUACAGGCCGACCGGGGCCUGCCGAGACCCAACUUGAUAUGUAUUUUAUACAUAGACCGAAAUGACUGUUACAUGAACUCCAGUUGUGUCAGCCUCAUGGAGGAAAACUUAGGCCUGUGUCCGACUUCUCCUCGACAUUACUUUGUUGUCACAGGUCUUCCUCUCUGUUGCAGCAGCUGGAGAAGCCAUGGAUUAACAUCACGGGACAUUGUGGGCUAUUCUGAUGUCACACUUAUAGUCCCGCAUGCAGUUUCCCACAUCUUCCAUGCCAGAAGACUUCUCACCUCUCUGCUCAGAGAUGGUUCAGAUAUCAUGUUGGAAUAGCGUGACAUUACGGUAUUGCAACAGACAUGCAUCCCGAGACCUGAUCUGUUGGACACACCUCCUUCCAAUGCAGAUUCAAGCUAUCUGUAGCUAUCCAGCUCACCCAUAACGGGGCAGCGGUCAGGUUGUAUGUUACAUCACAUCACACACUUGUUGGUGUCAGGCUUACUGCACACCGAUCAGUACAAGCAGCAGAGCUGAUUGCACUCACAGAGGAAUGUAAGGUAGCUAAAAAGGUCAAACUAACAAUUACACAGGUUCAGUUCAGGUAUCUGGAACGUACAUGACCUUGGGCCUCUGUGGAAGACACAGAGGAUUUCUAACAGUGGCAAACCUAUGCACACCACACGGUGGGUUCAGCUGUUUUCAGUCGUUAAAUGUGAAGCUCACAUCUCUUCUUUUGACCUGUGUCAAUAGUAAACAUAGUGGCAGAUCUGGUGGCAAAGGCGGCAGCCUUAUCAGGCACCCCUUUUCCCCACAUAGACUGAUUCCAGUCCUUAGGCAGAUUUUUCCACAAUUCAUUCUUUUACCAAUGCCCAGGAGCGCUCCCUAUGGAAUGCUCUGGUGCCACUCUUUGAGUCGAGGGGUUGACAGGCCUAGACGGCAAGCCUUGUUUGCCACGCGCUCUCUUCCAUACUUCUAGAUUUUCUCAUGGAGGAGACCACGUGGGCAAAGGGGGAAUGGGUAAUGCUCUAAAUGCAAGUUCAUACACCAGAGAAUUUUCAACAUUUGCAAUAAAUAACAACAGCAGGGUCACCGCCCUGCAGAUACACUUUUUGAACAGUUAGUAAUGUAUUUUAAAUCUCAACGUUUUUAGGUUUUAACAUCAGGCAUCAUUGUUCUUAUCAUCCUCAAUCAGCUGAUUGAGUUGAACGAGAAAAUGGUACUAUUAAAUCUAAACUAGCGAAAUGUUGUGAAGAGACAGGCCUAUCUUCGGUGAAGGCACUUCCGCGAGUGCUUUUUCACAUGCGCAUGCGAAUACAGCAUGCUAAGAUAUUGUGCCAACCUAUCAUCCUCGCUCUCAGCACUUCACACACAGGUGAAAUCUAUACUUCCCUCACCAGCCACUGCGGUCCAGCAUCACCUGAAACCAGGAGACUGGGUGCUCAUCAAGGAUCACAGGAGGAAGCACGGGAAGCAGAGACACUACACGGGUCCCUUCCAAGUACCCCGACAACGGAGACGGUGGUGAGAGUGGAAGGAGAACAACGUAGGUCUACGCCAGCCACUGCAAACACAUCCCAGAUCCAGAAGGAGAAGGAACAGUGAUGGAAGAAAGAUCUCCAGCAUCACGACACUCCUUUGAGAAGCACAAGUGCAGCCAGAGCAAAAGCAUCCACUCACUGCUCUCUCUGACCACGGCAGCAAGGAUACUGUUCCUGAUCUUGGAAUUACAAUGACGAAACAUAAACGGCAAAGAUACGAGCCCGUUUCAUCUCACGAAGAAGUGGCAGGAAUUGCCCAACAGGACGAUGUGUUCCCUCUCCUCAAUAGAUUGAUUGAUAUGUUAAUAUGGACGAACAACUUCGUCAAAUAGUAUGUGAGUGGUGUUAAGUGGCCUACCAGCAGGUCAGUAAAGCACAGCCAAAACCAGCACCUAUUGGAAACAUGUACUUUUAAGCCCAACACAGUUUCUAUUCGAUUAGAAAAUAGGUAUACAGAGCAUACCUUGAGUAAAUAAAUUCAAAGUCAAGCAUUCAUCUUGGACUAAAAGCAUAAUUGUACUAAAUCUUUAACUAAGACCAGACCUAGAGGUGAAGAUUCACCAAACCCAAACCAUCCAUUCUGAUCUAUUCUUUGACUAAUGUCAGCUGUCGUGUUAAUUUCUACGUGUUAGGAUAACUAAUUUGAGAAUAGUGUGUAACUAAACAAGAUCAGUACAUAGUGGGUAUUAGUAGACAAAAACCAUACUUUGCACUCAGAGGUUAAUGAUGUAAUGUCUUGAAAUCUUUGGGAAUCUACCUCACUGAUGUAUGUCCUACAAAUGGCUGUAUACUAACUUUUGACUAUCAUUUUUCAGUUGUUAAAAUUUGUCAAAAAUGACAAAAAGAGUGAGAUGUUGGGGAAACAUGUGUUUUAGAAGUUCUCUCUCUCCUGGAAUGUGUUAACAGUUGUCUCUUCCAAAUGUCUAUGGAGGAUAAUCUAAUCCUGUGUGGGGUCAUGUGAAAAGGUCACAACCCAGGCUCUCAUGGGAAAAGGUCACAACCCAGGGGUCUUGAGGUAAUGACCAAACCGAGCUUGACUGGAACCAGAUGGACUUUGGAAUGUGGAUUCUCUCUGAGAUCUAUAAAGGUUGCAGUAUUGCAUAGAGAAGGCAGCAGUUAUUUCUGACGGCCUUGAGAGAAGGCUCAGGGAUCCUGCUCCAUUCAGCUGAAUGUUUUCAUGACUUGUUUGUUAUUUAGCGUUUGGUUGAUGACUUGUAAACUUGUUACUAUAAUAAAGUGUUAUGGGUCAACCAUG